GAUGAACGCUGGCGGCGUGCCUAAUACAUGCAAGUCGAGCGAACGGACGAGAAGCUUGCUUCUCUGAUGUUAGCGGCGGACGGGUGAGUAACACGUGGAUAACCUACCUAUAAGACUGGGAUAACUUCGGGAAACCGGAGCUAAUACCGGAUAAUAUUUUGAACCGCAUGGUUCAAAAGUGAAAGACGGUCUUGCUGUCACUUAUAGAUGGAUCCGCUCUGCAUUAGCUAGUUGGUAAGGUAACGGCUUACCAAGGCAACGAUGCAUAGCCGACCUGAGAGGGUGAUCGGCCACACUGGAACUGAGACACGGUCCAGACUCCUACGGGAGGCAGCAGUAGGGAAUCUUCCGCAAUGGGCGAAAGCCUGACGGAGCAACGCCGCGUGAGUGAUGAAGGUCUUCGGAUCGUAAAACUCUGUUAUUAGGGAAGAACAUAUGUGUAAGUAACUGUGCACAUCUUGACGGUACCUAAUCAGAAAGCCACGGCCAACUACGUG
rnacentral:rRNA from 1 species